CCUACGGGAGGCAGCAGUGGGGAAUUUUGGACAAUGGGCGCAAGCCUGAUCCAGCAAUGCCGCGUGAGUGAAGAAGGCCUUCGGGUUGUAAAGCUCUUUUGUCAGGGAAGAAACGGUGGGAGCUAAUAUCUCCUACUAAUGACGGUACCUGAAGAAUAAGCACCGGCUAACUACGUGCCAGCAGCCGCGGUAAUACGUAGGGUGCAAGCGUUAAUCGGAAUUACUGGGCGUAAAGCGUGCGCAGGCGGUUUUGUAAGUCUGUCGUGAAAGCCCCGGGCUCAACCUGGGAAUUGCGAUGGAGACUGCGAGGCUUGAAUCUGGCAGAGGGGGGUAGAAUUCCACGUGUAGCAGUGAAAUGCGUAGAGAUGUGGAGGAACACCGAUGGCGAAGGCAGCCCCCUGGGUCAAGAUUGACGCUCAUGCACGAAAGCGUGGGGAGCAAACAGGAUUAGAUACCCUGGUAGUCCACGCCCUAAACGAUGUCUACUAGUUGUCGGGUUUUAAUUAACUUGGUAACGCAGCUAACGCGUGAAGUAGACCGCCUGGGGAGUACGGUCGCAAGAUUAAAACGUCAAAGGAAUUGACGGCGUGAGACGUGCGACGACGACGACGAGGGAGGAGG
rnacentral:rRNA from 1 species